UGGGGGAUAUUGCACAAUGGGGGGAACCCUGAUGCAGCGACGCCGCGUGAGUGAAGAAGCGUUUCGGCGCGUAAAGCUCUAUCAGCAGGGAAGAAAAUGACGGUACCUGACUAAGAAGCCCCGGCUAACUACGUGCCAGCAGCCGCGGUAAUACGUAGGGGGCAAGCGUUAUCCGGAUUUACUGGGUGUAAAGGGAGCGCAGACGGCAGCGCAAGUCUGGAGUGAAAUCCCGGGGCUCAACCCCGGAACUGCUUUGGAAACUGCGCGGCUUGAGUGCAGGAGGGGUAAGCGGAAUUCCUAGUGUAGCGGUGAAAUGCGUAGAUAUUAGGAGGAACACCGGCGGCGAAGGCGGCUUACUGGACUGUAACUGACGUUGAGGCUCGAAAGCGUGGGGAGCAAACAGG
rnacentral:rRNA from 1 species